ensembl:lncRNA
CUUGCUGGAGAUCUCUGCAUACCUGAGGCAUUCUAAAGGAAGAGAUCCUGAAGAGGAGAGGAUGGAUUAAAUAAUAUCACUGCUCACCCACAGUACUGGUUUCAGUGGAAAUAGAGACAAGCUGGGUUUUAAUUUAAUAAGGGUGUGAAUUGUAAGGAUUGAAAUAAAAUGGAGACCUCAAAAGGGAGCUGGGAUGGCAGAGGACCAAGAGCAUCAUUGGGCAUUGUGAUAGGUGCAAGGGUUACAGGUGGUGGUUAUAGCUUUGCUAGUAAUGCUGGGGGGCAAUUCUGAGGAGCUCUGCAGAGAAAACAAGUGGUGCUGAUGGCAAAUGAGACAGAAAGAAGACAGGACACACAAGACUUCUGGCAGUGCAGACCUCUGUGUAUUAAGCAUUGAGAUGAUUUCAUUUGCUCCUUGUCCCACUUUCCUUUCCCCUUGCUUGCCAGGGGAGGAAAAAAAAAAGCACCUUUUUGUAAAUUGCAUCAUCAGUCACAUUGCAGCAGGCAGGGCUGAGAGCACAGCAAUGGCAGCAGCCAGGCUCCCCUGGUCGAUACAAAAGCCCAAAUUGCAGGAAGAAUUAUCCAUGGAUGGACCUUCCCUGCUCAAGUUUCCCCCCCCCCCCACCCCCUCCCCCAGGGCUCUGUUCUCCUUCAUUGCUGCUUGGUGGCAUUUUUGAUCACAACCCAAAGUGGACAGGUUUCUGCUGAGACAACCCUCCUGCACAGAGCACAUCAACUACAAGCAGCUACAUUAGCUCAAGAAUGCUGGACUGCAGGGAGAGAACUGGAAUCACAGUAUCAUAGGAUGGCUUUGAUUGGAAGGGACCUUAAAGACCAUCAGGUUCCAUGGGCAGGGCUGCCAGCCACCAGAUAACCACUGGAUCUUCCCUUCUAACCACUCCUUCCCUCCCCACUUCCCCAUCCCUCAGCAGAUGCCACAUCUCCUGGCGUUGCUCAGUAUUACCCAAAGCAAAGGCUGAUGAUGGCAAAGUAAAGUCGCUGGACUUGGAGACAGAUUGUGGGAAUGGAGGAGAUAAAUCCUGAGCACACAGCCUGCAUGGGGAAAGGAAGACAAAUACUGAAAUAAAUAUGAGAAGAAGACAAAUUUGGGCUACAGGGAGCGGGUGAGCCAGAGAGAGAGAGAGGAAAUUGCACUAAAAUAGACGAGGUUUCCUGGAGACAAAGGUAAAAUUGGGAAAAAUGAGAUCUAAAGUGAAGGGGGAUAAAUCACGAGGGCAGCAAUGUCUGAAAAUUAUUGGGAAUGAAGCCUUCCUGGUAAGUGAGACAUCCCCAGCAAGACAGAUCUGCUACAAGCAACAAAUACAGCUGUGGUGACAGGGACAAAACCAAGCAGGGAAUAGUGUGGUGAGCUCUGCCUCCUCCCAGAGGGCUUUGUGUGGCCACAUCCCACAUGUUUUGGGCUGCAGUUAUCUUCCCAGAAUAUAAACUGAGGAAUAAAAUGAUCUAUGAUGGGGAGUGGGCAUUUUCACAUCUUCAAAAUGUCCAAAUUGUUCAUUUCUGCAGAGAAAUGCCUUAUCUGGAGUGCUGGGGCAGCGUUCAACAGGAAAACAUGCAUGCCUAUGAACACAGUGCUGUUGCAGCCUUGCAAAUGGAGCCAGUCUCUUUGCAACAGUCUUUUAGCCAAAAUAUGGUCUCUUGCAGCCUCUUCCCAAGCUAAAACCUCUUGCUGCAUGAUGACUCUCAAAGCCAUCAAACACUGAAUGGAGGGAGCAAUGCAUGCCAGGUGAGAGUGCUGGUGUGGGCAUCUUUUCCACCCUGUGCCUCCCAAAGACAGGCAGCAUUUCUGCCCCUUCCUUUGGGUUCCUCUCUUGCUCCUUAUCUCAGUGACACUGCACAGAUAAAUAGCAGCGCUAAUCCUAUAUUGAGAUCACAACAUGCUUUACACUUCUGUGCUGCAUUGCAAGCAAGGGAAGCUCUCCCCCUGCUCUCUCCCCAGGCUGUAGGGAAGCAGCAUGGGAUUUCUUUAAUUUUUUUUUGUGCCAGGCAAAGCUGUGACAUAAAGCUUAUGGCUCGUUGCAGGGUUUUUCCACAUCUCCCCCUCUUUACUUUGGCAAGGAAUUGAGUUUUCAGCUGGGAAGAGAGAGCUCUGUGCCAAACACACCCCCGGUUUUCCAGUGGAAGAGCAAAAAUACACACAUUGACACACUACAAAUGGGUAGCACUGUUCUGAAGGGGGGAUGUAUUAAAAAGCCAAUUGGUUUCCAUAGAGAAAAUACUCAGAUUUUGCACCAAAACUUAUUUCUUUCUCAUAAGCCUAAGGCAACACCUCUGCUCAUUUGCAGCAGUUUCUGGCUGGUGUGGGGCUCUUGGGGCAGUUAUUGGAGGAAAUGUAGAAAUUGAAGGGAUUUGAAGUGGGAUUUGAAACUGGAUUUGGUGCUGACCUAGCUGGUGCCAGCAGGUGCAGUCCCUGUGUCCCACAGCCAUCACCAAAGGCUCCCAGUGCUGCGAUUUCCCGUUCUGUGAGAUGUGAAGGGGAAUUUGCUCUGGAACUGAUCACAGAGGGGAAAAUAUACAAGAAAAAAGAAUGAGGAGAUAGAAAAGCUGGUGCCAAAGCCUGUCUCGUAUCCUGUAUCCAUCUGGCAGGCCACUCUGAUGUGCCCUCGUGUUUGUACACCCCAUGCCUGGUGUUUUAUAUAUGCCUGUAUUCACCCUGUUCUUGCUGCUUUCCUGGCCUUUCCCCUUUCUUCCACUCUCUGAUUUAUGUAAUUUGAAGUCCUGGUUGGGAGCUGAUAUUAUGACACGUCCAGACUUCAAAAUAAACCUCCCUCU